rnacentral:rRNA from 1 species
GACGAACCCUUGCGGCGUGCUUAACACAUGCAAGUCGAACGGAAAGGCCCUGCUUUUGUGGGGUGCUCGAGUGGCGAACGGGUGAGUAACACGUGAGUAACCUGCCCUUGACUUUGGGAUAACUUCAGGAAACUGGGGCUAAUACCGGAUAGGAGCUCCUGCUGCAUGGUGGGGGUUGGAAAGUUUCGGCGGUUGGGGAUGGACUCGCGGCUUAUCAGCUCGUUGGUGGGGUAGUGGCUUACCAAGGCUUUGACGGGUAGCCGGCCUGAGAGGGUGACCGGCCACAUUGGGACUGAGAUACGGCCCAGACUCCUACGGGAGGCAGCAGUGGGGAAUAUUGCACAAUGGGCGGAAGCCUGAUGCAGCAACGCCGCGUGCGGGAUGACGGCCUUCGGGUUGUAAACCGCUUUCGCCUGUGACGAAGCGUGAGUGACGGUAAUGGGUAAAGAAGCACCGGCUAACUACGUGCCAGCAGCCGCGGUGAUACGUAGGGUGCGAGCGUUGUCCGGAUUUAUUGGGCGUAAAGGGCUCGUAGGUGGUUGAUCGCGUCGGAAGUGUAAUCUUGGGGCUUAACCCUGAGCGUGCUUUCGAUACGGGUUGACUUGAGGAAGGUAGGGGAGAAUGGAAUUCCUGGUGGAGCGGUGGAAUGCGCAGAUAUCAGGAGGAACACCAGUGGCGAAGGCGGUUCUCUGGGCCUUUCCUGACGCUGAGGAGCGAAAGCGUGGGGAGCGAACAGGCUUAGAUACCCUGGUAGUCCACGCUGUAAACGGUGGGUACUAGGUGUGGGGUCCAUUCCACGGGUUCCGUGCCGUAGCUAACGCUUUAAGUACCCCGCCUGGGGAGUACGGCCGCAAGGCUAAAACUCAAAGGAAUUGACGGGGCCCCGCACAAGCGGCGGAGCAUGCGGAUUAAUUCGAUGCAACGCGUAGAACCUUACCUGGGUUUGACAUGGAUCGGGAGUGCUCAGAGAUGGGUGUGCCUCUUUUGGGGUCGGUUCACAGGUGGUGCAUGGCUGUCGUCAGCUCGUGUCGUGAGAUGUUGGGUUAAGUCCCGCAACGAGCGCAACCCUUGUUCACUGUUGCCAGCACGUUAUGGUGGGGACUCAGUGGAGACCGCCGGGGUCAACUCGGAGGAAGGUGGGGAUGACGUCAAGUCAUCAUGCCCCUUAUGUCCAGGGCUUCACGCAUGCUACAAUGGCUGGUACAGAGAGUGGCGAGCCUGUGAGGGUGAGCGAAUCUCGGAAAGCCGGUCUCAGUUCGGAUUGGGGUCUGCAACUCGACCUCAUGAAGUCGGAGUCGCUAGUAAUCGCAGAUCAGCAACGCUGCGGUGAAUACGUUCCCGGG